rnacentral:rRNA from 1 species
UACGUAGGUGGCGAGCGUUGUCCGGAAUUACUGGGUGUAAAGGGAGCGUAGGCGGGAUAUUAAGUUGAAUGUAUAAACUACCGGCUUAACCGAUAGAAGCGUUCAAAACUGAUAUUCUUGAGUGAAGUAGAGGCAGGCGGAAUUCCUAGUGUAGCGGUGAAAUGCGUAGAUAUUAGGAGGAACACCAGUGGCGAAGGCGGCCUGCUGGGCUUUAACUGACGCUGAGGCUCGAAAGCGUGGGUAGCAAACAGG